GUUCACUGCCGCGGACUCCAGGCGCCUUCUGAGUUCUUAAUCAGAAGGCAAAUCUAGAGAGGCCUCUACUGGUGAGCCUCUCUCUGUGCAGUUGUCCGGGUGGAACUGUCCUGGAAAAGCAAGCGCGAGAGUGACUUUCAGCCUUUAUUGGAAAGUUGCACCCAAGACGGAUCACCGAUGAACACACUGCACAUGACACUGAAUAAUGGCAUUCACAGUUUCGAAGUUGUCAGCCCUAACUGCUUAUUUUCAGAUAAUAAAAGGACCAUAAAGCUCUGAUGAAUGAGCUGUUCAGACACGUUGAGAUAUUUUAAGAUUAUUCAACAAGGAAAUAACAGGUGGAGGAUUUCUGCGCACAACUAAAGAGUCAUAUGUGCUCACCGACUCUGGACUCGGAAGGAGUUUGGAAAUCACGUCCUGCAGCGGCACACACAAAGAGGAGGCAGCUCUCCGCAUCAGCCCCCUCCGUUCCCCCCUCCAUGCUGGGUUGCUUUCUGACUCCUUCCGAUAACGAGAAGCUCCUUUUUCUUUGAGGAAUCCUGUUUCAUUAGAAUGUUCCAGUUCUAUUUUGGAGUGAGCCAAAGUCCCCUUUCUCUGACUUCCUAGGUCUCUCUUCAAAACUACCUCACAAGGCAAGUGGAGCAAAGAGAUGUGUGGAGCUUUGAUCUGAGCCGCGAUUGUAAGCGCUAACAUGGUGUUUCACACACAGUCUGUAUUCAAUAGGUACAACUGAGUGUUAAUGAAGGAAUUAGAUUCUUCUGUAUCUGGGACUUAUUUAUCUUAAGAUAAUAAUUGUGUCAUUUCCCCUGCCCCCUUGGUCAAAGGAGAGCGCCAUUAAGGGAAGAAGAGGACGGCCAUCACAGAGGAUGUGGAACCCACAUUCAACCACUGUUCUGCCUCUUCUUCCCGUGGCUGCAAAAUCUAACCCCGCUCCCUCAUUCCCCCACAUAGUUGGGCCCAACACAGUUUUCUUUUGGGUGAGUCCAGAUAUAGGUUUGGUCCACUCACAGUGGUGAAAGGGAGGAAUAAAGCAGUCAAGGCCAUGUGCCAUUGUGUCCUAUCAUCCCUUAAAGUGACAUUGAGGCCACAGGAGUGUCUGAGCCCUGGGCAGCCCUGGGCAGGGCUUACUGAAGGUAGCCAUGCCCCUGUUUGCUGUUGUUUUUCUCUUUAUCUUCUCAUAAGUUGUCCUCAGGUCAUUAUUUAUUUCACUGAACAUUUCCAGAAUGCCUACUAGAUGUCAGACACUUCACCAAACCCUGGAAGUGCAGAAAUGAAUAAGACAUGGACCCCGCCCUGAAGUUGCUUACAGGUUAUUGAGAUAGACGGACAUACGAACAAAUCUUUUCAACUAAAAGAGCCCCCAAAAGAGGUCAGCCCAUUGGGCUUAUCGAGGAGCAGCAAGUGACCGCGCCAGGUGGCGUUAAAUGGAGGGUUCACCGCCUAGUUGAUGCUGUAGGAGAGCAACUUGAGUGCGUGGCUGCUAGAAGGAGGUGCAUCUUCAGAGGUCUGCUGGUGUUGAAGAAUAGAUGGCAUGCUGGAGGAAUAGCGAGGGAUCCGCCUGGCUGAAAGACAGCGUGAUUGAAAAACCAGGCAGGGACGAUGGAAAUUAGACUAGAUUGGAGAGAGAGUUUAGGGUUAUUAAUACAAUGUGAUUCUUUCCAUUAGCAACAAGAUAUUUUAUCCAGACUGGAAAUGCACUUUUUAAAAUAAAAAGAAUUAACCAAAAGGGCCUGCUGAAUUUGCUUCUUUCCAUGAAUGUAUUUUUGCCCAAGCAAGUUUUUCUUCUUCUUCUUUUUUUUUUUUUUUUUUUUGAGGAAGAUUAGCCCUGAGCUAACUACUGCCAAUCCUCCUCUUUUUGCUGAGGAAGACUGGCCCUCAGCUCACAUCCUUGCCCAUCUUCCUCUACUUUAUACAUGGGAUGCCUACCACAGCAUGGCUUUCUGCCAGUCGGUGCCAUGUCCACACAGGGAUCCAAACUGGCGAACCCUGGGCCUCCAAGAAGCGGAAUGUGGGAACUUAACCUAACCGCUGUGCCACCCAGCUGGCCCCGCCCAAGCAAGUUUUUAUUUCCUUGUAAAAGAGGGAUAAUGCCAGAAGAUUAGCUCAUUGGUAACGCAUAUGUUUUAUACAAAUUUUAGCUAAAUAAAUAAACUUUGAGAUGUUUUUUAAUAACAACAAAAAUUUUAAAACUAUCUGUUUAUUGUCAAUAGGGAGUUGGUAAAAUGAAUUUUGGUUUAUCCUUACACUGGAAUACGAUGGAUUCAGUAAAAUGGCACUGUAGAAUAUUGGGUUAUAUAAAAUUGAUAGUCAUUAUAGAGAUUGUUAGAAGAAUAAAAGAAGAUUU
rnacentral:lncRNA from 1 species